UACGUAGGGGGCAAGCGUUGUCCGGAAUCAUUGGGCGUAAAGCGCGUGUAGGCGGUCCGGUAAGUCCGCUGUGAAAGUCGGGGGCUCAACCCUCGGAUGCCGGUGGAUACUGUCGGGCUUGAGUACGGAAGAGGCGAGUGGAAUUCCUGGUGUAGCGGUGAAAUUCGUAGAUAUCAGGAGGAACACCGAUGGCGAAGGCAGCUCGCUGGGACGGUACUGACGCUGAGGCGCGAAAGCGUGGGGAGCAAACAGG
rnacentral:rRNA from 1 species